GGGAGGCUUGGCGGGAGCGGGUGGGGGCGGUGCGUUCACAUCUGCCUUAAAAUAGACCCUGUUGCUUUAUAAAUAUAAAUCCAUUUCUCUUCUGCUGGGCUGAGCCGAAAAUCUGAGUGUAUUUCCCACACUGAGAGAAGAAGCAGAGCUGAGGGCGAUUUCUGGUUUUGGAAAUGAAUGGAAAGGGGAAUGGGCAGGUCCCCAGGCUCGGUCCAGGGAGAAGCGCCCGGAUCCUAACACCACACAGGCCCGGACACCCCGUCGUCUUCGCGCCCAGCCGUGGGAAGAGGAUGGACGCCUCUUUCGCAGUGAAAACGUCCCCCUCUGGCCGGUACAGAAGUAGAACUGCCGGAAUUCUGCCUUCUCGCCUCGUCCCCACUCUCGAGCAGAGGGGUCUCCCUGGGAGCGGCGUGGCGGGGACUGGAGAGGCGCCGUCGAGAAACACCAACUGCGUGCUGAAACGACGGAGGAUGCCCCGCAGCACGCCGCCGCGCACACCCCCGCCCCUGCCCUCUGGUGGUUGGGGGGCGCCAGUCCCCGCACUGUCCUGGCUGGGAUCAGCGCCCGCCUUCCGGCACGCCCCGCUUGGGCCCUCAGACCACCCAGCCUGGAGAGGCGCGCCCCGAGUGGCCACUGAGUGGCCUGCACCCCGGUGGAAACUUCUACUGGAAGGUGGCCCCGACGACACUUCUCCCUUACCUGGGCACAGGGCCACCGGCUGCUGACGAUUCACCGCCUCUCUGGAAGGAAAAAUUGGCAGACCCCUCUAGACACCAAGUUCCACCCUGUCCGUUUGCUUACCCCAAAAUAGUGCUUAGGAGAAAAACGUGUUUCCCCUAGAACAAAAGGGAGAGGAAGAAUCAGAUUGAAUUUUGAUGAUGCAAGGUUCAAGUUGACUCUACCCAUCCUUUGUAAUGGACCUUUUCUUUCAAAUAUGCGUGUGUGUAAAUGCCCGAAAGACUAAUUAAAUAAAGACCAAGUUGACCUCUCUGGGUUGA